rnacentral:rRNA from 1 species
AGGAUGAACGCUGGCGGCGUACCUAACGCAUGCAAGUCGAACGGGGAGUUUUUAGCAAUAAGAACUUCUAGUGGCAAACGGGUGAGUAACACGUAGGGAUCUACCUUGGAGAGGGGAAUAACGGACCGAAAGGUUCGCUAAUACCGCAUGUGGUCGUGAGACCAAAGGAACUAGCAAUAGUUUCGCUCUGAGAGGAGCCUGCGUUCGAUCAGGUAGUUGGUGAGGUAACGGCUCACCAAGCCGAUGACCGAUAGCUGUUCUGAGAGGAAGAUCAGCCACACUGGGACUGUGACACGGCCCAGACUCCUACGGGAGGCAGCAGCGAGGAAUAUUGCACAAUGGACGCAAGUCUGAUGCAGUAACGCCGCGUGGGGAAGAAGACCUUCGGGUUGUAAACCUCUUUUAUUUAGGUACGAGUGAGGACGGUACUAGAAGAAUAAGUCUCGGCUAACUACGUGCCAGCAGCCGCGGU